GGAAGGUGGGGUAGAGGAGGCUGCGGCUGCAACCGUUCAUGCGGCGGCCGUGCAAGGUAGGGGGCUCGAGCGCUGCGGUGAGAACGGCGGCCAUGAUACGGAGACGACGACGGAGAGGAAGGGUGGGCAGGGCGGAGGGUUCAAGUUUUAAAGACAGUUUCAAGUUUAGGCGCGCGGGUCAAGGUUGAGAGGUCUUUGGUGAGGAUGUCGGGUUAUAUUUAUUCACCCGUCCGUAUACCCUGAGUGCGACGAGUUUGAUGUGGGGGUUCUUCAGUGUGUAACCAGUGCGUUUGGAAGUCUAACUUCCCUCACACUCCUUCACACUAAGUGAAGAGAAGCGGUAGAUUAGAAGAAGCAGUUCCCGUUCCGGUCCGCGAAGCGGAAAGUCGAUACCUCACCGCACCAUAAGGUACCCUCCAAAAACACCGGGUACAAAGUGCGUACUACCGGUAUGUAUUUUUUUUUUGAGUAAGAUCGAAGGGGGCAGACUUAUGACAUAGUCAUCGUCAACCUUUUCAUGACUUACUAUGUGUAGAAUAUAUUGACUGAGGUUGUAGGACCUAAUAAAUAUAGGUUAGACUGACGUCAAAAAUACGUAAAGUAUAGAAUAAAGUAGAUUAGUCACACGUCAAACUUACGUAAUAAAACAUCGGUUCAGGUUGUCUUGAACGAGGUCACCGUACGGUUCACGAGUAUGUUCAGAUAAAUAUGCGCUCGGUUGUCUAUACUGUUCAAGUUCAGUGAGCAGAAACCUGCUACUUCACUGUUUGCUUAGUAGAUGCUAAAAGGGAAGAUUACCGUACGAGUAUAGUUGACUCCCGAACCUCACGCCUCUUUCGAGUUUUCCCGCUUUCGCACGUGCACUUCGUUAUUCUAUACGAUCGGCAUGUGGUCUUGUUUAGGUUCGUUCCGCUCUUGCACAAUCUCGUGCAGCCGUUUUAAAUUGUGGACGACUCUUCUUUUUCUAAUUACGUGUUUCUUCUCUUUUUUCUGUUGCUUACCGUGUACUACUCUCCUUACGUUCGGUUGCUGGUACAUCCGUUUCAAACUGUAAUCUACUCUCCACUCGUCUACCUACUACACUCUCGAGGUUUCGAUUAUAACAACCGUAUUUACAAAACUCGUUUGUUGAUGUCUUCUCAUAUGAUACGACUCUUUACUGAAGUACCGGACUAUUUACGGAUUCCUCGAGACGGAAAAGUAAUAUGACAUGUUUUGACGGCCUUCGUCGUCGGCCUUUACUAAUGUUAUUCCUUCUUUUUCCCUUUUAUCCGACUUCGGUUUCCGUAGGUCGGUACGGUGGGAGUCCGAUGAUGAGGGGACGGAGGAAUUCCUCCGGCUAGCGUAGAGAACGUUCUUCGUCGUGUCGUCUUUAUCUCGAACUGCUCCGGAACUUUUGAGACAAGAAAGAGAGUUAGGUUUCCACGGUACGUUAUAUGUGACGGCGGCACGUAAGUAGCCAUCGUAACGGAAAGAAGAAGUCCGAAAAUAGGAUAGUUUCCUUUCUUCGUCAAGACAACAUCACCAAGAUUCCGAUCUGUACUAUUAUACAUAACCUCUAACGACCGGCACGGCCACUAAACCCUCUAGACCACUCUCGCCAGUAGUGUAAAUAGCGUUAAGUCUCAAUAGCAGACACUGUGAGUGUCCGGAACGUAAACUGCUUCGGUGAUAAACUUCCUACGACUGUGUACCGUGUAGUAGAGAUAAAAAACGGUAUCAUUAGAACGAAUGACUCGGGUUAAUAAAACCAACAUGAACAUACAUUAGAGAAUACAUACGUUCAAUACGUGGUUCACGAACACUAACACAAUAGAAAAGAGUACACUCAAAAGUACUGACCAAUGACUUACACUAUACAAACACUCCACUAAUUACAGAAUGGUAAAGA
rnacentral:rRNA from 1 species